UACGGGGGGGGGCAAGCGUUGUUCGGAAUUACUGGGCGUAAAGGGCGCGUAGGCGGCUCGCUAAGUCGGAUGUGAAAACUCUGGGCUCAACCCAGAGCCUGCAUCCGAAACUGGUGGGCUGGGGUGCUGGAGGGGAAAGCGGAAUUCCUGGUGUAGCGGUGAAAUGCGUAGAUAUCAGGAGGAACACCGGUGGCGAAGGCGGCUCCCUGGCCGAACACGUGACGCUGAGACGCGAAAGCGCGGGGAGCGAACGGG
rnacentral:rRNA from 1 species